UCUACCGCAGUGCAUUCGUCGCUGCGUUCGUGCCUGUUGUGUGCGCUGCAACCUCGCCUUUGAAAGGACGACAACCUUGCUUUUCAAUUACAAGUUUAAUGUUUGUUUAAGACGAUGGACACAUUGCAAAUGGCGGCAGGAGUGGAUCGGCUACAUCGGUGAAGCGACGAUUUAUAUUACAAGCGAGGCUAAUUGUAUUCUUUCGUUAUAGGUGAACGUGGGACUGUAUCGACUGCAAGGACUUGAGUUACAACAAGCUGUAAUAUUCUAGCAUUAACGUUUGAACAAUACCAGCGUGAUGUUCACUUCGGUUUCUUUACAGGUAGUGUCCUGUCUCAACGGUCACGCAUAUGCCUGCAAAACUGCAACUGCUUCUCACAUCGAAGAGUGGUCUGGUGCCACAUGCUCGGACAAUUAUUCGUCGGCCAUUUCGUUUGAGGAACUGUCGUGUUCGUCACUAAGGAUGAUCUUGGUUGAGCUUUGCAGUGCCAGCCUGGUGCAUCGGAGGGGUUGUGUCCAUGCAACGUGUGCUCCAUAUGUGUGUGCUGGGAUUAGUGAACCGUGUAUGCUUUCCAUUCGGCCAACAAUGAUGUACUGGAUGAAAUUUAGAGGUAUGUGCACGCCAAAAAAAUUUGGUGUUUCAAGUUCAA